rnacentral:misc_RNA from 1 species
UUGACGGUGUCUUUUACUUUG